AAACUGAUAACUUGUCGAGAGUAGUGUUUCUCUCUUCAGCCAUGCGAACUGCGGAUCCCGAAAUAUGAUGAGUUUGGCGAAAUGGAAGACCUUUACGAACAAGAUACUCAGCCAAAUCGGUAGCUAGUAAAUCGGGGGUCAAGCUUUCGGCAAUCUUUGUAGGAUUGAUGGUAAGGGUUGAGACAACGCCAGUCAAAAUUU